rnacentral:rRNA from 1 species
CCUACGGGCGGCUGCAGUCGAGAAUCAUUCACAAUGGGGGAAACCCUGAUGGUGCGACGCCGCGUGGGGGAAUGAAGGUCUUCGGAUUGUAAACCCCUGUCAUGUGGGAGCCAAUUAAAAAGAUAGUACCACAAGAGGAAGAGACGGCUAACUCUGUGCCAGCAGCCGCGGUAAUACAGAGGUCUCAAGCGUUGUUCGGAAUCACUGGGCGUAAAGCGUGCGUAGGCUGUUUCGUAAGUCGUGUGUGAAAGGCGCGGGCUCAACCCGCGGACGGCACAUGAUACUGCGAGACUAGAGUGAUGGAGGGGGGACCGGAAUUCUCGGUGUAGCAGUGAAAUGCGUAGAUAUCGGGAGGAACACUAGUGGCGAAGGCGGGUUCCUGGACAGUAACUGACGCUGAGGCACGAAGGCCAGGGGAGCGAAAGGGAUUAGAUACCCCAGUAGUC